CCUACGGGUGGCAGCAGUGGGGAAUAUUGCACAAUGGGGGAAACCCUGAUGCAGCGACGCCGCGUGAGUGAAGAAGUCUUUCGGUAUGUAAAGCUCUAUCAGCAGGGAAGAAAAUGACGGUACCUGAUUAAGAAGUCCCUGCUAACUACGCGCCAGCAGCCGCGGUAAUACGUAGGGGGCAAGCGUUAUCCGGAUUGACUGGGUGUAAAGGGAGCGUAGACGGCAGCGCAAGUCUGGAGUGAAAUGCCGGGGCUUAACCCCGGAAUUGCUUUGGAAACUGGGCAACUAGAGUGCAGGAGAGGUAAGUGGAAUUCCUAGUGUAGCGGUGAAAUGCGUAGAUAUUAGGAGGAACACCAGUGGCGAAGGCGACUUUCUGGACUGUACCUGACGCUGAGGCGCGAAAGCGUGGGUAGCAAACGGGAUUAGAUACCCUAGUAGUC
rnacentral:rRNA from 1 species